GACGAACGCUGGCGGCGUGCCUAAUACAUGCAAGUCGAGCGAAGUUUUUCUGGUGCUUGCACUAGAAAAACUUAGCGGCGAACGGGUGAGUAACACGUAAAGAACCUGCCUCAUAGACUGGGACAACUAUUGGAAACGAUAGCUAAUACCGGAUAACAGUAUUUCUCGCAUGAGAGAUAUUUAAAAGUUGGUUAUGCUAACACUAUGAGAUGGCUUUGCGGUGCAUUAGCUAGUUGGCGGGGUAAAGGCCCACCAAGGCGACGAUGCAUAGCCGACCUGAGAGGGUGAUCGGCCACACUGGGACUGAGACACGGCCCAGACUCCUACGGGAGGCAGCAGUAGGGAAUCUUCCGCAAUGGGCGAAAGCCUGACGGAGCAACGCCGAGUGAGUGAAGAAGGAUUUCGGUUCGUAAAGCUCUGUUGUUAGGGAAGAAUGGAUAUGUAGUAACUAUACAUGUAAGAGACGGUACCUAACCAGAAAGCCACGGCUAACUACGUG
rnacentral:rRNA from 1 species